UCACUGUUAACUAGCCCGCAUUGCUUUGGCAGUGCGCUGGCUUCUUAGCGGGACUAUUGGCGCGAGCCAAUGGAAGUUGGAGGCGAUAACAGGUCUGUGAUGCCCUUAGAUGUUCUGGGCCGCACGCGCGCUACACUGACGGAGCCAGCGAGUACUUCCUUAACCGACAGGUUUGGGUAAUCUUGUGAAACUCCGUCGUGCUGGGGAUAGAGUGUUGCAAUUUUCACUCUUCAACGAGGAAUCCCUAGUAAGCGCAAGUCAUCAGCUUGCGUUGAUUACGUCCCUGCCCUUUGUACACACCGCCCGUCGCU
rnacentral:rRNA from 1 species